UAUUAAUAAACCAUCUUCAGUAACCACAAGAUGAACAAAAUUUGGGAUCACUUUGAGUGCCUCCAAGAAGGGUGAUUUCCAACGUGCAACUUGUGGGGAAAGGAAGUUAGUAGGGGAGAGUGAUGGGUUAUUUACUAGUGCUAGUAUGAACCAUCACCAAUACUCUGUAUUGGUGAGGGACAAAGCAGAAAAAUAAAUUUCUAAAGCAGGCAGCAAGUUAUUUUAUCUGAGUAUGUGAACCACUUUCCACCAGCGUAAUUCCUGCACUACUACCACCCUUACGGAGAGACAGGUGAAUUGUGAGGAUAGUGACU